GACGAACGCUGGCGGCGCGCCUAACACAUGCAAGUCGAACGAGCGAGAGAGAGCUUUGCUUUCUCGAGCGAGUGGCGAACGGGUGAGUAACGCGUGAGGAACCUGCCUCAAAGAGGGGGACAACAGUUGGAAACGACUGCUAAUACCGCAUAAGCCCACGAACCCGGCAUCGGGUAGAGGGAAAAGGAGCAAUCCGCUUUGAGAUGGCCUCGCGUCCGAUUAGCUAGUUGGUGAGGUAAUGGCCCACCAAGGCGACGAUCGGUAGCCGGACUGAGAGGUUGAACGGCCACAUUGGGACUGAGACACGGCCCAGAACUCCUACGGGAGGCAGCAGUGGGGAAUAUUGCACAAUGGGGGAAACCCUGAUGCAGCGACGCCGCGUGGAGGAAGAAGGUCUUCGGAUUGUAAACUCCUGUUGUUGAGGAAGAAUAAUGACGGUACUCAACAAGGAAGUGACGGCUAACUACGUGCCAGCAGCCGCGGUAAAACGUAGGUCACAAGCGUUGUCCGGAAUUACUGGGUGUAAAGGGAGCGCAGGCGGGAAGACAAGUUGGAAGUGAAAUCCAUGGGCUCAACCCAUGAACUGCUUUCAAAACUGUUUUUCUUGAGUAGUGCAGAGGUAGGCGGAAUUCCCGGUGUAGCGGUGGAAUGCGUAGAUAUCGGGAGGAACACCAGUGGCGAAGGCGGCCUACUGGGCACCAACUGACGCUGAGGCUCGAAAGUGUGGGUAGCAAACAGGAUUAGAUACCCUGGUAGUCCACACUGUAAACGAUGAUUACUAGGUGUUGGAGGAUUGACCCCUUCAGUGCCGCAGUUAACACAAUAAGUAAUCCACCUGGGGAGUACGACCGCAAGGUUGAAACUCAAAGGAAUUGACGGGGGCCCGCACAAGCAGUGGAGUAUGUGGUUUAAUUCGACGCAACGCGAAGAACCUUACCAAGUCUUGACAUCCUGCGACGCACAUAGAAAUAUGUGUUUCCUUCGGGAUGCAGAGACAGGUGGUGCAUGGUUGUCGUCAGCUCGUGUCGUGAGAUGUUGGGUUAAGUCCCGCAACGAGCGCAACCCUUAUGGUCAGUUACUACGCAAGAGGACUCUGGCCAGACUGCCGUUGACAAAACGGAGGAAGGUGGGGAUGACGUCAAAUCAUCAUGCCCUUUAUGACUUGGGCUACACACGUACUACAAUGGCGUUAAACAAAGAGAAGCAAGACCGCGAGGUGGAGCAAAACUCAGAAACAACGUCCCAGUUCGGACUGCAGGCUGCAACUCGCCUGCACGAAGUCGGAAUUGCUAGUAAUCGCAGAUCAGCAUGCUGCGGUGAAUACGUUCCCGGGCCU
rnacentral:rRNA from 1 species